GAUGAACGCUGGCGGUCUGCUUAACACAUGCAAGUCGAACGGAAUCUUUCGGGAUUUAGUGGCGGACGGGUGAGUAACGCGUGAGAAUCUGCCUUCAGGUUCGGGACAACAGUUGGAAACGGCUGCUAAUACCGGAUGUGCCGAGAGGUGAAAGCUUAAGUGCCUGGAGAUGAGCUCGCGUCUGAUUAGCUAGUAGGAGUGGUAACGGCACCCCUAGGCGACGAUCAGUAGCUGGUCUGAGAGGAUGAUCAGCCACACUGGGACUGAGACACGGCCCAGACUCCUACGGGAGGCAGCAGUGGGGAAUUUUCCGCAAUGGGCGCAAGCCUGACGGAGCAAGACCGCGUGAGGGAAGAAGGUCUGUGGAUUGUAAACCUCUUUUGAUAGGGAAGAAGACAGUGACGGUACCUAUCGAAUCAGCCUCGGCUAACUCCGUGCCAGCAGCCGCGGUAAUACGGAGGAGGCAAGCGUUAUCCGGAAUUAUUGGGCGUAAAGAGUCCGUAGGUGGGUCACCCAGUCAGUUGUUAAAUAGUGAAGCUUAACUUCAUAGAGGCGACUGAAACUGGUGGUCUAGAGUGUGGUAGGGGUAGAGGGAAUUUCCAGUGUAGCGGUGAAAUGCGUAGAUAUUGGAAAGAACACCGGUGGCGAAAGCGCUCUACUGGGCCUGCACUGACACUGAGGGACGAAAGCUAGGGGAGCGAAAGGGAUUAGAUACCCCUGUAGUCCUAGCCGUAAACGAUGGAUACUAGGCGUUGCCCG
rnacentral:rRNA from 1 species